rnacentral:rRNA from 1 species
GACUACUAGGGUAUCUAAGCCUGUUCGCUCCCCACGCUUUCGUGCCUCAGCGUCAGUAAUGGCUUAGUAAGCUGCCUUCGCAAUCGGAGUUCUGUGCAAUAUCUAUGCAUUUCACCGCUACACUGCACAUUCCGCCUACCUCAACCAUACUCAAGACUCACAGUAUCAAUGGCAAUUCUACCGUUAAGCGGCAGCAUUUCACCACUGACUUACAAGCCCACCUGCGCACCCUUUAAACCCAAUGAAUCCGGAUAACGCUUGCAUCCUCCGUAUUACCGCGGCUGCUGGCACGGAGUUAGCCGAUGCUUAUUCCUACUCUACCGGCAACUGAUUACUCGUAACCAGGUUUCUUGGAGUAGAAAAGCAGUUUACAACCCAUAGGGCCGUCAUCCUGCACGCGGGAUGGCUGGUUCAGACUUUCGUCCAUUGACCAAUAUUCCUCACUGCAGCCCCCCGUAGG